rnacentral:rRNA from 1 species
UACGGAGGGUGCAAGCGUUGUUCGGAAUUAUUGGGCGUAAAGAGCGUGUAGGCGGUUUGGUAAGUCAGAUGUGAAAGCCCUGGGCUCAACCCAGGAAGUGCAUUUGAAACUGCCAUGCUCGAGUAUGGGAGAGGAGAGUGGAAUUCCCAGUGUAGAGGUGAAAUUCGUAGAUAUUGGGAGGAACACCCGUGGCGAAGGCGACUCUCUGGACCAAUACUGACGCUGAGACGCGAAAGCGUGGGGAGCAAACAGGAUUAGAUACCCUGGUAGUCCACGCCGUAAACGAUGAGAACUAGGUGUAGCGGGUAUUGACCCCUGCUGUGCCGCAGCUAACGCAUUAAGUUCUCCGCCUGGGGAGUACGGCCGCAAGGCUA